GAUCAUGGCUCAGAUUGAACGCUGGCGGAAUGCUUUACACAUGCAAGUCGAACGGUAGAGGGGGCAACCCUUGAGAGUGGCGAACGGGUGAGUAAUAUAUCGGAACGUGCCCAGUCGUGGGGGAUAACGUAGCGAAAGUUACGCUAAUACCGCAUACGAUCUAAGGAUGAAAGCGGGGGAUCGCAAGACCUCGCGCGAUUGGAGCGGCCGAUAUCAGAUUAGGUAGUUGGUGAGGUAAAGGCUCACCAAGCCGACGAUCUGUAGCUGGUCUGAGAGGACGACCAGCCACACUGGGACUGAGACACGGCCCAGACUCCUACGGGAGGCAGCAGUGGGGAAUUUUGGACAAUGGGCGCAAGCCUGAUCCAGCAAUGCCGCGUGCAGGAUGAAGGCCUUCGGGUUGUAAACUGCUUUUGUACGGAACGAAACGGUGAGCUCUAAUACAGUUUGCUAAUGACGGUACCGUAAGAAUAAGCACCGGCUAACUACGUG
rnacentral:rRNA from 1 species